GAUACGUUGUAGAUGAACACAUUUUUGGGUUGGGAUGAUGAAUGACAUGGUAUGUUAACAUGAAUUCCAUCGUCUCAAUUGUUGAAUCGUUGAAAUUACCAUGAUUGUCAAUGAAAGAUCGAACUUGGAAAUUGAUGACGGAUUGUUGUAUCGUUGGUCUGUGGAUAUAGACUUGGAGUGUUCGUUGUGGAUUUGCUCUUGAAGAUAUUGUUCGGUGGGUGAAGUGAUGAGAAAGAAAUGGAUUGUUAUUCAUUCUUGUAGUGUUUGUUGAAGGUAGGGUGUCAUAGAUAUGUUUUAUAGAUGGUUGGUGUGUUUUUUUUUUUUGUUGUUUACUUUUUGACGUUUGUUUAUAUGGUUCAUUUAUUCAUUGGCGUUAAAUAUUUGGAGUAAAUGGACUGUUAUUAAUUUAUUUAUUUUAUUAUGCUGCUUUGUUACUGUUUCAGAAGAUUAUGCUUAAUAUAUUUACAAUCACUGUUUGAUCUAUUAUUUCAAGAUUGCGUUUAAUGAUAUUAUAUUAGAAAUUUGUUUUCUUUAAUAGUUUUUUAUUACACCAAUGAGGUUAUCAUUUGUAAUUGGAUGUUGUAAAAGGUGGUAACAUUGAAAAAUAAAUAAAUGAAAAAUUAUAUGGACCUGAAAACAUAACGGUUGUAAAUUGUUGACAUAAAGUUUAGUAAUUGUUAAAAUAAUUUAAUUAUAUAGUUAAUUAAUUUGUGGUGAGAGGAUAAAUAAUCAAGUGGGUCAACUAAAUGGUUUUUUUAUAUAAUACAGUAUUAAUUUAUGAAAUUUACUUAAUUAAAUAGUUAUAUAACUAUUUUUUUGUAGGUUAGUUCUGUUUGGGAAAAUAUAAUGUUGUUUCCUUAAAUGUUUGUAUGCUCAACAUAUCAAAGCAUAUUUGGUCGUCCAAAAAACGGAUUGGGUUUAAAAAUGUUGGGCUCGAAUUGUGGUGGGCCUUGAAUUUACAUUUGUUCUGAUACUUAAAAAAAUCCCUUAGGUCGUCUUUUUUCCUCCGUCGUCGGGGGAGCUUCACCGUUGCCUGCGAUUCCUGUCCUGAUUGGCGUUUAAGGCGGUGAGUUUGGGUUACGGCAAUUGUUCUAAAGCGUAAUUGAAGAAGAAUUUGUUCACAUUAGCUUAGGCAGAGUCGGCAUCAACCUUUGAUGUUUCGUCAUCGUCUGAACCUGCAACAGAGAAGUGCCACGUAUAGCUGACCAUGGCUGAAGACUGGUUUAGGCAAGUAUAGAGAGACGUGUGACAAAGUCUGUCCUUGACUUUUAUUUAUUGUCAUCGCAUAACAGACCCUUAUCGGAAACUGGCGUCGCUUCAAGGUGAAUGGAUGGUUGGAUUCUGGUGGUGACAAUAUGAUCCGUGGUAGCAGAAUAGGAUCUCUCUUGGUGGUUGAUAUUAUGCAGGAGCAUGACUGGGACACCCACUUUCAGACGUAGUUUAUGCGCCGGUAGACCUGGAAACUCCAAUGAGUUUAGAUAUUCCACCAGGUAUGUCAUAUCUAAGUCUCCUGAAUGUUGCUCUUCCUCCGCAAAGCUGUCUGCACUCAAGUACUCCUUCUCUUCUCCAGGAACUUUUGAUACCAAAUAAGUGUUGAUUUCAUCAACUGUGACA